AUCGCUUCUCGGCCGUUUGGCUAAGAUCAAGUGUAGUAUCUGUCUCUGUGCACAGGGAGCACUUCUAGUAGGCUCCAGGGAUCAUAU
rnacentral:snRNA from 1 species